rnacentral:rRNA from 1 species
AGUGAACGCUGGCGGUAGGCCUAACACAUGCAAGUCGAACGGCAGCACAGUAAGAGCUUGCUCUUACGGGUGGCGAGUGGCGGACGGGUGAGGAAUACAUCGGAACCUACUUUUUCGUGGGGGAUAACGUAGGGAAACUUACGCUAAUACCGCAUACGACCUACGGGUGAAAGCAGGGGAUCUUCGGACCUUGCGCGAUUGAAUGAGCCGAUGUCGGAUUAGCUAGUUGGCGGGGUAAAGGCCCACCAAGGCGACGAUCCGUAGCUGGUCUGAGAGGAUGAUCAGCCACACUGGAACUGAGACACGGUCCAGACUCCUACGGGAGGCAGCUGUGGGGAAUAUUGGACAAUGGGCGCAAGCCUGAUCCAGCCAUACCGCGUGGGUGAAGAAGGCCUUCGGGUUGUAAAGCCCUUUUGUUGGGAAAGAAAAGCAGCAGGUUAAUACCCCGCUGUUCUGACGGUACCCAAAGAAUAAGCACCGGCUAACUUCGUG